rnacentral:rRNA from 1 species
CCUACGGGAGGCAGCAGUGGGGAAUAUUGGACAAUGGGCGAAAGCCUGAUCCAGCCAUGCCGCGUGAGUGAUGAAGGCCCUAGGGUUGUAAAGCUCUUUUGUGCGGGAAGAUAAUGACGGUACCGCAAGAAUAAGCCCCGGCUAACUUCGUGCCAGCAGCCGCGGUAAUACGAAGGGGGCUAGCGUUGCUCGGAAUCACUGGGCGUAAAGGGUGCGUAGGCGGGUUUUUAAGUCAGAGGUGAAAUCCUGGAGCUCAACUCCAGAACUGCCUUUGAUACUGAGAAUCUUGAGUUCGGGAGAGGUGAGUGGAACUGCGAGUGUAGAGGUGAAAUUCGUAGAUAUUCGCAAGAACACCAGUGGCGAAGGCGGCUCACUGGCCCGAUACUGACGCUGAGGCACGAAAGCGUGGGGAGCAAACAGGAUUAGAUACCCUGGUAGUCCACGCCGUAAACGAUGAUGCCACGCGUACGUAGGUUACGUACUACUAGUGGUCGCGAGCGUACGUACGUUAACGUACUACUUCCGUCCGUCGGGUAGGUACGGUCGGCGAAGAAGUUAAAACUUAAACUUAAGUAAGUUAGUACGGACGUGAGACGUGCCGACGGACGACGACGAGGGAGGUAGG